GCAUUCUGCAGUCCUCGCCUCGGAAAUCUUGGUAAGUAAUAUUAAAUAUAUUCCUGUGAUUUAACGUUAAUUAUACUUAUGUUUGCAAUAUUUAUCAAAUAGUUAAAUAUUACGCUUUUACUAUCAACUGUUUUUGUAUUUUACUUCAGCUAAAAAAAGGAACAUUGUCUAACCUAACGGUAGUGCUCGCGGCUAAGCGGGAGCCACCUGAAAGAUUUCUCAGGCAAAUCCUGCACCUUCGCCGAAGAGAUAAAACGUUGAAGUUGGCGGUUUAUGGGAUGGCAAUGUAAACUCUGUACUUUUGUGGCUCCACGUAAAGGUGCUAUUCUCAAGCAUUACCGGCUGAAUCAUGGUACCUUUGGUCGUGGAUAUUCAGUACCCUGUCUUCAUUUAAACUGUCCAUGCUCCUUCAAGACAUGGAGUGGCCUGCGUACACACUUGCAUCGAUGUCACAAUUCACAAGAAACUAAGGAGUGUGAAGUGCAAUCUUUCAAAUGUAAAAUUUGUGACUCGUUUUAUUUCAACACAAAAGACUACUUUAAACACAUCAAUUCCCAUUUGAAAAGU